rnacentral:pre_miRNA from 1 species
UGGAAGCUUCUGGAGAUCCUGCUCCGUCGCCCCAGUGUUCAGACUACCUGUUCAGGACAAUGCCGUUGUACAGUAGUCUGCACAUUGGUUAGACUGGGCAAGG